UACAGAGGGUGCGAGCGUUAAUCGGAAUUACUGGGCGUAAAGGGUGCGUAGGUGGUUACGUAAGUUAGGUGUGAAAGCCCCGGGCUCAACCUGGGAACUGCGCUUAAUACUGCGGAGCUAGAGUGUUGUAGAGGUAAGUGGAAUUUCCGGUGUAGCGGUGAAAUGCGUAGAUAUCGGAAGGAACACCAGUGGCGAAGGCGACUUACUGGGCAAUAACUGACACUGAGGCACGAAAGCGUGGGGAGCAAACAGG
rnacentral:rRNA from 1 species